rnacentral:rRNA from 1 species
CACUCCUGCGGGAGGCAGCAGUGGGGAAUAUUGGACAAUGGGCGCAAGCCUGAUCCAGCCAUGCCGCGUGAGUGAUGAAGGCCCUAGGGUUGUAAAGCUCUUUCACCGGUGAAGAUAAUGACGGUAACCGGAGAAGAAGCCCCGGCUAACUUCGUGCCAGCAGCCGCGGUAAUACGAAGGGGGCUAGCGUUGUUCGGAUUUACUGGGCGUAAAGCGCACGUAGGCGGACUAUUAAGUCAGGGGUGAAAUCCCGGGGCUCAACCCCGGAACUGCCUUUGAUACUGGUAGUCUUGAGUUCGAGAGAGGGGAGUGGAAUUCCGAGUGUAGAGGUGAAAUUCGUAGAUAUUCGGAGGAACACCAGUGGCGAAGGCGGCUCACUGGCUCGAUACUGACGCUGAGGUGCGAAAGCGUGGGGAGCAAACAGGAUUAGAAACCCUAGUAGUCCCAUG